rnacentral:rRNA from 1 species
GACGAACGCUGGCGGCGUGCUUAACACAUGCAAGUCGAACGGAAAGGCCCUGCUUUUGUGGGGUGCUCGAGUGGCGAACGGGUGAGUAACACGUGAGUAACCUGCCCUUGACUUUGGGAUAACUUCAGGAAACUGGGGCUAAUACCGGAUAGGAGCUCCUGCUGCAUGGUGGGGGUUGGAAAGUUUCGGCGGUUGGGGAUGGACUCGCGGCUUAUCAGCUUGUUGGUGGGGUAGUGGCUUACCAAGGCUUUGACGGGUAGCCGGCCUGAGAGGGUGACCGGCCACAUUGGGACUGAGAUACGGCCCAGACUCCUACGGGAGGCAGCAGUGGGGAAUAUUGCACAAUGGGCGGAAGCCUGAUGCAACAACGCCGCGUGCGGGAUGACGGCCUUCGGGUUGUAAACCGCUUUCGCCUGUGACGAAGCGUGAGUGACGGUAAUGGGUAAAGAAGCACCGGCUAACUACGUGCCAGCAGCCGCGGUGAUACGUAGGGUGCGAGCGUUGUCCGGAUUUAUUGGGCGUAAAGGGCUCGUAGGUGGUUGAUCGCGUCGGAAGUGUAAUCUUGGGGCUUAACCCUGAGCGUGCUUUCGAUACGGGUUGACUUGAGGAAGGUAGGGGAGAAUGGAAUUCCUGGUGGAGCGGUGGAAUGCGCAGAUAUCAGGAGGAACACCAGUGGCGAAGGCGGUUCUCUGGGCCUUUCCUGACGCUGAGGAGCGAAAGCGUGGGGAGCGAACAGGCUUAGAUACCCUGGUAGUCCACGCUGUAAACGGUGGGUACUAGGUGUGGGGUCCAUUCCACGGGUUCCGUGCCGUAGCUAACGCUUUAAGUACCCCGCCUGGGGAGUACGGCCGCAAGGCUAAAACUCAAAGGAAUUGACGGGGCCCCGCACAAGCGGCGGAGCAUGCGGAUUAAUUCGAUGCAACGCGUAGAACCUUACCUGGGUUUGACAUGGAUCGGGAGUGCUCAGAGAUGGGUGUGCCUCUUUUGGGGUCGGUUCACAGGUGGUGCAUGGCUGUCGUCAGCUCGUGUCGUGAGAUGUUGGGUUAAGUCCCGCAACGAGCGCAACCCUUGUUCACUGUUGCCAGCACGUUAUGGUGGGGACUCAGUGGAGACCGCCGGGGUCAACUCGGAGGAAGGUGGGGAUGACGUCAAGUCAUCAUGCCCCUUAUGUCCAGGGCUUCACGCAUGCUACAAUGGCUGGUACAGAGAGUGGCGAGCCUGUGAGGGUGAGCGAAUCUCGGAAAGCCGGUCUCAGUUCGGAUUGGGGUCUGCAACUCGACCUCAUGAAGUCGGAGUCGCUAGUAAUCGCAGAUCAGCAACGCUGCGGUGAAUACGUUCCCGGGGCU